UAAUCAACAUUCGAGUUCAACUCACCACGACAACGCCAUUUUUGUUUGCACCCGGCUUUUAGCUGUUUUCGCAUGCACGCAAUUAUACACAGAGCCACUAACUUUGCGGCUUAAAUUAGAUUAAUCGCCGAGAGAUUAUGGAUCGCAGGUCAAACCACUCAGAUGGCUCGCACGGUGGCGGCGGUGGUGGUGGAGGAGGAGGCCGCAACGAGUGCCGAAUUUACGUGGGCAAUUUGCCACCGGACAUCAGGACCAAAGAUAUCCAGGACUUGUUUUACAAGUUUGGCAAGGUCACGUUUGUUGAUUUGAAGAACCGACGCGGGCCUCCUUUUGCUUUUGUCGAGUUCGACGAUCCCAGGGAUGCCGAGGACGCUGUGCACGCGCGGGACGGCUACGAUUAUGAUGGCUACCGUCUCAGGGUCGAAUUUCCACGAGGGGGUGGACCUGGAAGUUUCAGGGGCCGUGGAGGAGGUGGUGGUGGCGGCGGCGGUGGCGGAGGUAGAGAUGGCGGAAGGGGUCGAGGACCCCCGGCUAGAAGGUCGCAGUACAGAGUUCUCGUCACAGGACUUCCUCCGUCAGGAAGUUGGCAGGACUUAAAAGACCACAUGAGGGAAGCGGGAGAUGUGUGCUUUGCCGACGUUUUUAAGGACAAUUCUGGAGUGGUUGAAUACUUGCGUUAUGAGGACAUGAAGUACGCUGUUAAAAAACUGGACGACUCCAGGUUUAGAUCGCACGAAGGCGAAGUUUCCUAUAUUCGAGUUAAGGAGGAUUACGGAGGAGGUGGUGGCAGUAGUGGUGGUGGUCGGAGCAGCAGAGGACGCUCCCGAAGCUACUCUCCGAAGCGACGUGGCUCUCCGACCUAUUCCCCGGUGCACAGACGUGCAAGUUAUUCAAGAUCCAGAUCACGAUCCCGCUCCUAUCAUUGAAGAGCUGUCAAUGGGAAACACCAAAUUGACAUUCCUACUCCGGAAUUCACCCCAGUGUUUUUUUACAAACACAAUCAGUUUACCAUACUGCUUUUUAUCUUUUUAUAAGUACACAUGAGUUCAUUUUUAAUAUGCAAUGAGGUGAAUUUUGGAGUGUAAACAGUUUUCGUUAAAUUUUUUUGAGACAAGAGGAUUUCAGGAUCUGAUCAUGGUAAUUACUUUCGGCCAACCCAGUUAGGGAUAAUUUAGAAACUUCCAACUCAAGGGGGACUAAUUUGAACUUUUUGUUUGUUUUUAUUUACGCUCCUGUAAGGACACGGAAAAGAUAAUGGAGGGAAGGACAUACAGGACGCCCAAGGACAGGAGGAUUCCCAUGUAGGGCUCCUGAUGUACUGCGGAAGAACUCCGUCAGGGUGACCGCAGCAGCAAUUACAACAAGGGGUGGCAGGUAUGGCUGAUGGAGGCGGUUGCAGGACAAGUGCCGACUGUGACCUCGAGGGCGCCGGCCAGACGGAUGAUUGCAGAGAGGCCGUCGACUGAGUGGCUCGAAGGACGAGGGCCGCCUUUCGAAGGCUGUUGACCCUGCCCGUGUUGGAGCGCGGGGGUGGGUGCGGCGAGCCAGGGUUUGAAGAGAUGUGGAGAGACAGAGGGCGCCGCGGAGAGGCAGAAACGUUCAAAGCCGACGGCGCCUGGCUGAGUUGGCCCAAACUCUGCUGGUGCGACAAUAAAUCGUCUUGGCUCAUUUUCCUGAAAAUUUUUAAUAUUAGAAUUUUAUAUGUAUAUAUUUUUAGUAUUUUUAUAUGGAUUUUUUCUAUUAAAAAAUUAAUAAAUGGAAUUUAAUAUAUAUACAAUAUGUAUAUACAAAUGAUAGAAACAAAAUUGUUUUCCUGCCAAGUAUAUUAUAAUAAUUGUGCAUUGAAAACACGUACUAAAGACAUGCACGUAUCAAGAAAGGCAUUUUCAUAGAAUGAGCUUGAAGAGUUCACAAAACCUAAUAUGCAUUUCUUAUUAUUUGUAUUCACCUUGAAAGUUACCAAGCGCAGUGUAAAUGCAUUUAAAAAUAAGCAUUUUAAAUUUGAAUGAUCAUUUUAUUAUAAAAAUUACAAAAGUUACAUGUCUCACGCAAACACCGCGCAAUUACCAGCUUUAUCAAUUGUGAGGUCAAGCCGGCUAGUGUAUUGAUAAUACUUUCCAGUCCAGUGCACUUAACCUUAAUUUAAAAGUGAAAUGAGGAAUAGUCGACCUCGCAGUUCAAAUGACAAAAUAAAAAAAAUGCACACGAUUGGCAAAACACUCUGUUUUAUGUUAAACUAAAAAUAAAAAAUAUAAUAACUUGCAAUUAUAUUCCAUAAAAAAUCACUGCUCAAAUAAAUAUAAUCGUAACUGUGCGUUUUAAAAUAUCUGGAAUCAUAAGUUUUAUGUACAAAUUUAUUUUAUAGAAGAUAUCAGAUAUACUUUUUAAGCUGUAAAAGUUGUGACUUUUAAACAGCGCUGAACUAAAAUGCUAAAAUGUAAGCAAUCGUAAACGUGGCAAUUUUUGUGAUGACCAAAAUUUAGUUAUAAUAUUGUAUCAUUAUAUAUGUCACUCCUAAUGAGGAGAUUCAGCAGACUUGUAAAGAAUUUGCUGAACUAAUUAGCAAAAAAAUGUGCCACAAACAAGCGCAGCGCUUAUGCAUGCAAUAACAGCGCCCAGCGCCGUAGGAGAGCAAAAUGUGCUGCGCCUUUGAAUAUAAACGAUCAAAUAAUUUUAUCGCUCUUGACGGCAGCGUGUUUUUGAGCUCAAAAUUAUGAUGAGAGCUGUCACAAGAAUACCAGAAAUUCUUUUAAAACUAAAAACGCUGAAGAUACAAAUAAAAAAUUAAGAUAUAAAAAUAUUCUUUCCAGAGUUAAUUUAUUUGUAUAGGCAAAAUGCUAAAUCCAGUUUGCAUUAAUUAUAUUUCUCUCUUUCUUUCGUGAUUUAGUUGAAUAUUUUUAAACUUACAGUUUGUUAAGUAGUAUAUGGCAACCCUUUCACUGCACACCUACUACGACUGUCUGCACUGCGUACACUGGCACUGGCAAGUAAGGCAAUUAUUAUCAGUCGUCGUCAGUCGUCCUCAUAGUGAAAACACCUUCACAACACAAACGCAUGCGCCACUCCAGAUAUGGUUAAAAUUUAAUUAUGAAUGUGCAGUUCA